rnacentral:rRNA from 1 species
UACGUAGGGGGCAAGCGUUAUCCGGAUUUACUGGGUGUAAAGGGAGCGUAGACGGCAUGGCAAGUCUGGAGUGAAAACCCAGGGCUCAACCUUGGGAUUGCUUUGGAAACUGUCAAGCUGGAGUGCCGGAGAGGUAAGCGGAAUUCCUAGUGUAGCGGUGAAAUGCGUAGAUAUUAGGAGGAACACCAGUGGCGAAGGCGGCUUGCUGGACGGUAACUGACGUUGAGGCUCGAAAGCGUGGGGAGCAAACAGG